UAACAAUGAUUCCCCUAGUAACGGCGAGUGAAGAGGGAAGAGCUCAAAGUUGGAACCUGUUUGGCUUAGCUAAACCGGAUUGUAAACUGGAGAAGUGUUUUCCUGGCACGCCAGACUGAUAAGUCCUUUGGAACAGGGCAUCAUAGAGGGUGAGAAUCCCGUGAUCGGUCUGAGCUGUUGUCUUUUGUGAUACACUUUCAAAGAGUCAGGUUGUUUGGGAAUGCAGCCUAAAUUGGGUGGUAAAUCUCACCUAAAGCUAAAUAUUGGCGAGAGACCGAUAGCGAACAAGUACCGUGAGGGAAAGAUGAAAAGAACUUUGAAAAGAGAGUUAAACAGUAUGUGAAAUUGUUGAAAGGGAACCGUUUGGAGUCAGACUGGCUUUGUCGUG
rnacentral:rRNA from 1 species